CACACUGAAAGUCGAACUAAGGAGAAGUGGAUGUGAACAGCAUUAUUCUUCAGAAUCAAACGAGAGGGAAAUCAGGUGUUGCGAAGAUGAUAAAACUAGCUACUUUUAUCAUGAUGAUCCCACUAUAUUACACUUUCGAUCCGAACAGUAAAAUAGGCAAGCUGGAAUUCGUAAACGGAUCGUGCUAUUAUUACUUGAACGAAACACAACCACUGAGUAUACCAGAUAAAAGCCAGAUGAACUUGCAACAUCCUUGUGUGAGCAUGUUUUGCAACGCCACUGGUCGAGUUGUAUCAGAGUGGGGUUGUCCGCCUCCGGUUAAUUACACAACUGACGACACGAAUGGCUACUGGCCGAACUGUUGCCCUACUUAUAAGAAGAAAACUACUUAGUGCACAUACGCUACUUCAUGCUUAUCAGAAGCAAUCGUGUUCACUUCUGCUUAGACACAAGAGAACUAAGUCAAAUGAACAGCAAAUGAGCAAGAACCCAUUGUUUCCGAAAAAGUUCCAAGCAGCUCACUUAAAGUACUGUUCUUAUUGGCUUUUACACUAAUAAACGCACAUGUUG
rnacentral:lncRNA from 1 species